rnacentral:lncRNA from 1 species
UUUUUUUUUUUUUGCCUUAGGUUUAUUUAGAGUUAAUUACUUAACUCUGCAAGUCUGAAUUUACUCAACUGUAAAAAUAGAGAUGAAACCAAACCUUCCUGUGGGGAUGAUGCACAAUACAAUGUACGUAACAUAUUUAGCUAAUGGCUAGCUAGCUAUCAUGAGCAAUGGAUGAAGGCUAGACUGUGUUUUAAGGUCAAUCAUUCCAUAAAUAGUGACAAGAGAGAAACUCUCCUGUACCUAAAAUAUUAGGAAAACCCCUGUGACGGAUAACCAAAUAUCCCAGUCAUGUAUAUUACAGAUGAACUUCCAUUUCUCAAAAAAUGGAAUUUUAAACGCAUGAUAUAUUACUAUACUUCAUAAAUAUAUUCAUACACAAUAAAAAAGCACUUUAAGAUUUAACAUACUUAUGUUGUUUUGUAAUGUCUGAUUUUAUCCAAAUAUUGAUACUCAAUAUUUUUAGACUUUUAUAUUCCUCAUAGUAAAUCAAAUAAAAAUGAAACCAAAUUUAAAACGUAGAUUAGGUUUGCUUUGUGGCAGAAACGUAAUUCAGGAGAAAGAAAUCUUGACACAUGUUUCAAUUUGGCAGAAUAAAAGUUUUUGUUUGAGACAAGUGAAUUUAAUUUUUGGUAACCAAAUUCGUUGUUUGAAGUCUAAGAUUCACAACAGAGUUAUUAUACACAUAUAAUUGCCCAGUUUUAUACAAGGCUGGUAGAUAGCUCUACAACAUAUCCAACAAACAUUUCUCCCUUUACCCUCCUACUCUUUAGGAAGAUCACAUCUUCUAAACCAUUCUAAGCAAUUCACUUAAAUAUUACUAGGGAAAACCAGACCUGUUAUAAAGAGAUCCAUUUAAAACCUGUCCUAGUAUGAAUCCAUUCAACAAACAUAUUGUGUGCUCAUUUAGUCAAUCAAUUCUGCUUAGUGCAUCAAAAGUCUUUGAUCUGUGAAAUCUCUUUUUUUAUUUUUCAUUUCUUCACAAUUCCUUUUAUGGGAUUUGAAUGUUUUCAUUCUUUUCCUCAUGAUGAUGGAAAAUAAUUUAUCAUAGGAAUCCAGGAAUGGUUUUUUUUUUUUGUUAAAAUUCUCAAGAAUACAGGCCUUCCUUUAUCCAUCUCAGAUAUAAUGUAACAUUUAGAUGCAGAGACCCUAGUGUCAAAUAUACUGGAUGAAAAUCUUGACCCAUCCACUGAUUACGUAACCUUAGGAAAGUUAGUUAAUUUCUCUGUCUCAUUUUCUUAUCUAUGAAAUAGUUGUGAAAACAGCAUUUAUCUUCUAAGUAUCUUGAUAAUUAAUGGAGUUAAUAUUUCUAAAGAACUGAGUACCUCACACACUGUGUAAUGAUUCCCUUAUACAUGAUUUUAUCUAACCAUGUAAAGGAUCUUCUUAUUUUAAAGCCUAACAUAAGAAAUGAAAUGUUAAAAAAAAUAAAAAACAAGAAAUGAAUUGUUAUUUGGAAAAUAGUUAUUCGAUACAUAAAGCACAUAAUUUAUAAUUUCAUCUUUUCUUAAAUAAAACAGUGUCAUCUUUCAUAUGUAUAAAAUCUGCUCUUUUCCAAAGUUCUAGACUAUUUUCAAAGUUUAAAAUAGCUAUAAUUAAAAAAUAGCUAUAAUUUAAUUAAAAAUUACUUAAAACACAAUUAUAUAAACUUUUAUCAUAUAUAUCUCUUACCCAUCCUUUUUCAAAGCAAAAAACUAAUAUAAUAGGGACUAUGAAAUAUUGAAGCCAUUAGUGACCAUAAGACAAUCUUUCACAGCAUUCCUGUUUUACAAACAAGACAGAACUUUAUAAAGAUGCAGCUCAUUCUUCAGAAUUUUCCCUUGAGACAAUAACAGAGCUGGAUGUAGAACUCAAGCCUUCUGACUCCCUGGAUUUCCUGGAGGAAGGAUUUCCUCCACACUGCAAUCAUGCCUCAGAUCUCUAUACAUUAAAUAUUUCAUUAGCUUUCUCUUAUCUCUCCUUCUCCUUGAAGUAUCAUAAUUUGAGCCACCUGUAGUAUUUCUGAAGUCAAGACACUAUGGCUUGGUUUAAA